GGGAGCAUAGUGUGGUGGCUAUCAUGCUUCAUUUGCAUUUAUGGUUCAUCACAUCUUGAAGAGGACCCGGGUUCAGACCCCGGUGCUUCCA